UGGGGAAUUUUGGGCAAUGGGCGCAAGCCUGAUCCAGCCAUGCCGCGUGGAUGAUGAAGGCCUUAGGGUUGUAAAAUCCUUUCGCCGAGGACGAUAAUGACGGUACUCGGAGAAGAAGCUCCGGCUAACUUCGUGCCAGCAGCCGCGGUAAUACGAAGGGGGCUAGCGUUGUUCGGAUUUACUGGGCGUAAAGCGCGUGUAGGCGGGUCGUUAAGUUGGGGGUGAAAUCCCGAGGCUCAACCUCGGAACUGCCUUCAAAACUGGCGACCUGGACCCAAGUAGAGGCAAGUGGAAUUGCGAGUGUAGAGGUGAAAUUCGUAGAUAUUCGCAGGAACACCAGUGGCGAAGGCGACUUGCUGGACUUGUGGUGACGCUGAGACGCGAAAGCGUGGGGAGCAAACAGGAUUAGAUACCCCGGUAGUCCCUGAGCGGGCUGGCAAGGCGCAU
rnacentral:rRNA from 1 species